AAAUCCAGGGUCUACUAAACCAUAUCCGGAUUUGCACUCCGGACUUUUACUGAAUUUCCUGGGGAGGGGGGAGUCUA
rnacentral:tRNA from 1 species